CUUGAUGUAACCUUGCUGUAGCCAUUGCUGUAAUGUGCCAGGUGUACUUGCAAUAAUCAGAGAAAGUGCGCCAGAGUCAAAUCACACAGAGGGAGAGAGAGCACAACUCCUGGCUGCAGCUGAAGGAGGACGAUUGAUUUCUGGCAGUUCGUCUUACCAUUGCUUGUAAGCUGGAUUGGGUAAGAUGGAUCAUCUUUAAAGGCACCAGGAGUUAAGGCAGAUGUGGAGGCACAACGGGUGAUACCAGACACACACCAAGCACAUUAUGUUCGGACAUUCAAUCAUGACAGGAUCCAGGUGGAUGCUGUCCAUUGAUGAAAGAGUUUGUUCAGCGGUUUCUGGAUAGAAUUAAUUCCAAAGAUGGGAAAAAGUGCACAUCCAGACAAGGAGCAAGCAAAAAGACAAGGAACUUGGUGCAGAGAAAAGCUGUGGCCAUUAACCCCCAUGUGAACAGCUUCAUGCAGUCCCUGAUUGAGUUCGAAUGGACGACUUCAAAGUAAAGGCCACUGUGGUCUGUCUGCCACAGUUUAAUGCAUUUAUUUUUAGUGUUAAAUGAAAUUUAAGUAGAAUAUUUAAAACUAUGGGCCAGUGUUCUUUUUACCACAGUGAAAUGUUACCUUUUAGUCGAUGAUGGACUUUAAACUGAAAACUUCAAACUAUGGAACAGUGUUCUAUUUGCCAGAGUUAAAUAUGUUACAGCAGGGGUCUCCAAACUUGUUUAUA